UGUUCUACUUUGAUAUCCAUCUCCCCAUGAAGUUUCUUCCCCUUGAAGUACUUUGCCCUAGGAAAAAAUGAAAUUUUUUAGUAUUUUUAGUAUUUUGCCCUAGGAAAUUAGAAACCGUAGUGGUUUAAGCAACCCAAAGACCAAAUUAAUCUUUGCAAUCCCUAUUAGACCCAAUAUAAACACAUAUAGCUCUUUACAUCAUACACAUCUACAGCCCAAAAAGGCUGAAUUUAAACACAGCCUAUGCAGCUAAUAAGUAUAAAUCUGAAUUAACCUAGUCCUCUACCAAUUCUAGCCAGUGGUCCCGCUAAUUUUUUUCAUCUCUGUGUGGAAUUUUUUUCAUCUCUGUUCUGGGUGGCAGUAUGAAGACAGUGUGUGCCCACAUGCAUUCAGAGUGGAACCUGUGAGUGCGCCUGAUUCAACCUGAGCAGGAUUUAAAAUUAACUGAGUGGACAUCAAAAAACCUGUGAGUGCGCAUGUGCACACCAUAGAGGUAACACUGAUUCUAACUCACUAGAUUCUACUUCCCUGCUAGGGGGGAUUUCAGUCCCAACAACAGGGCUAAAUUUGAGCUAGGUCUCACCAGGAGGUAACAUAAAAACUACAAGAACAUCUCCUCCCCUUUUGCUAUUAACACAAGCAUACUGACCAGCCUGCUCUGCGGUUUUACUGACAUUUGAAACAGAAUCUCUAUAUUUCAGGUCAUUCCCCACCCAAGUGAAACAUAUGGGACACAUCCUCUCAAGUCUGCAUAGCUCACUCUCUUUCCAAUGUAGAAGAGCCCUUCCAGAAUAUUCCAAGGGUUCGGUGAAAUAAAUGCAUUAUUUCAGCUAUCUGUUAUAGGCACAUCAGGACUCAAAGCAGCAUAUUCAAGAAACCCCAAGCAAUCUCUCAUCCAGGCACCAACCAGACCAAGGCCUGCUUAGCAUCAGCGAAGUGGCUGUAUCAUGUGCCCUCAGACCGUGCCCUGCCGUGUAUUAAAAAGUCUGCAUCAAAGCAAGAUUGGGAAAAAUCCAUAAAUCCUGCCUUACAGCACCCUUAACAUCCUCUCAAACUCACCAGGCCUUGCUCCUAAGAGGACUGGGCAGAGAAUAUGAAAGUCUUGUCUCCUGACCCCAGAUUAGAAGACCAAUGGUUUCCAAACCUUCUGCCUACAGGGAAACAUUUCCAAAUUGACUCAUCAGCUGAGAAACCCCCGCAUGUCUGUCACAGAACCCCAGUGUGUUGCAGAAGAUUCUGGGACAUGCUCUACGGCAUGCACACCCAGUUCACGGAGGCACUGUGGUCAAGCCUACUAGGCCACAUUGUCUGUUCCUCAUUUGUCAUCCAAUAAAGCCUCACUGCAUAGUUGGAACUUGGGAGAAUCUAGAAGAAAUGGUCCUCGAUUCCCAUGCAUUCCUAAUCACUGGACCUUGCUCCUCAGUCAGAAUUGGGGAGAAUACUUCAAGUCUGUACUCUCAAGUUUCGCUCCCCUUUCCACAAUGACUACCAGGCCCUUUUCUAUUCCCCUGACCAAAGCAGAGAACCUGGGAUUUCUUCAUUCUCACAUCCUUUUUGUCAUGCCCUCACCCAUGGAUAGCGAUGAGGAGUGGGAGGCUGGCAACCCUCCAAUGGGCAAAGAGGCACGUGAAAGAGAGAGCUCAUGAAAGAGAGAGCUCGUUUGCUGGGCCACAGGAAGUAGCUGAGACGGGCCAGGGUGAAGAUUCAGGACUAGAAGGCCCAUCGGGAGCAGAGGAGACGGGGUGUGGAAGACCAAACACUGAGCUAGAGGACGGCCAACCAUUAAUCCCCCAAGAGCAGAGAAGUGCAAAAUGCCGACAGCAGGUGCAGGGCACUCAGAAGAAGUCAGCACUGGGGGAGGAGAGCAAUUAAGCCAAGGACAGGCAACGAACAAGCCACUGGAAGCAAUGUAUUGGUUGAGCUUGCUGCAUACCAAGCCUCCUGUUACGUCGAAUUCCCAACUUCGUGGUGGAACUUUUGAGUCCCAGGCUUCCCCUGCUUGUAACUUGAUUCCUGGGCUGGGCACCAGACAACUUUAUCCGGGACGGGCUGCUGGUGACACCUGGGACCCUUGGCUCAGAACAUUUGGGAUCUGGUGAGCGACCUGGGUUGUGGGGGACUCGGUUUGGACUGGGGACUCCAUAGUGAUUUGUUCUUUUGUGCUUCUUUGCAGACGCGGAGCGACUCCUGAGUGACCAGCUUCUCCGGAUAAAGACCAAGGACCAGACUGCAGACAGACAAGCUCAUGACACUUUUCCUCUAUACGGUAACACACGCAGAACCAGCGACUGAAUCCAGUCAUGACUCCUCUCAGCCACCUUUCCAUGUAUGUAUGUAUCUAUCUAACUGAAUUUAUAUACUGCUUCUUCACAUAUUGCUUGCAAAGUGGCAUGCAUUAACAAAAAUAAAAACAAAUUAAAUACAUGACAAAUACAGCCUAGAACACAGCACAGUCAGCACCUAAAGAAAAAAAGGAAAAGGAAAAAAUCAAAACAGCACUUCCUAACAGAGGAGACUCAGAUUGCAGGUACACACAUAUACAUACACCCCAGAAGCAGAGAGAACCCAAGUAUUCCGAAAAGCUCUUUCACGAGGUACAAGAGCUCCUUCCCAUGGUGGCAACACUCACUAUACUUCUUUACAUACAAACACAUUUAAUGAAAACCUAACCGCUUCUUCUAAAGACAAGGGGCCAUUGUGGCUGGGGAUGAUGGGAGUUGCAGUCCAACAGCAUCUAGGUAGGACCCAAGUUUGGUAACUCCUAGGCUAAAGCAACUUUGGAAAGAGAGUUGGGCCUUUGUUCAGCCCAAAAACUCAUCCAAGUUUCAUAUCAGAACUUCCAGCAGUUCUAAAAGCCAUUUUUGGCCUGGCCUGGCUGUUCUGUGGAUUUCUUACUACUAGCCUGUUACGUAUCAAGUGAUCUCCCGUGGUCUCCCUAGGCCAGAAAAGCCUCAAGCCUUCUUAUGGACUGGAACAUCUUGCAAAUGAUUGUUUGAAAAUCUACUACUAUCAACGAUUGCUCCUACUACUAUAGGGAGACAUUAAGCUUUUGAAAUCCGUGUCUGAGCCAUCGGAUGCUAGGAUGUUUGCCAGGAUGUUUGCCAAGAGAGGAGAGCUGGUCUUGUGGUAGCAAGCAUGACUUGUCCCCUUUGCUAAGCAGGGUCCACCCUGGUUGCAUAUGAAAGGGAGACUAGAAGUGUGAACACUGUAAAAUAUUCUCCUCAGGGGAUGGAGCCGCCGCUCUGGGAAGAGCAGAAGGUUCCAAGUUCCCUCCCUGGCAGCAUCUCCAAGAUAGGGUUGAGAGAGAUCCCUGCCCGCCUGCAACCUUGAAGAAGCCACUGCCGGUCUGUGUAGACAAUACUGAGCAAGAUGGAACUAUGGUUUGACUCAGUAUAUGGAAGCUUCCUAUGUUCCUAUGUAAUUUAAUCAACACUGUACCUCUUUCCGCACUAGAUGCUAAAUUUCCAAACUUUCCCUAUAAAGGAAGCAGCCAGUUUCUUGUUUUAAUUUUUUUUUAAUUGAUAUAAGAAAAGAAUACAGAAAUACAGGAUACAGAAAAAGAAAAAUACACAAGUACAAUAGAUACCAUUUCAUACAUGUUUUGUACACCAAACCGGAAAACAACACCGCCUCCUAACCACCCAUUAACGGCUCCUCCUAACCACACGUAUUCGAAUAAGAACUUUCAAAUGUUCAAACAGAACAUCCAGCUGAAUAACUAAAUAUCAAAAUUAAACAGCAUCAAAAUUAAAAUAAACUCACUCAAGGAUUCAUUAGCAGAGAAAAUCCAAAUCUCGGUUAAGGUAUCCGACCCUGUGACAGAUUAUAAUGUAUAAAGGGUUCCCAAGUAAUGCCAAAUUUAUCUUCUGAUUUAUUUUUUUAUAUAUGAAGUAAUCCUAGCCAUUGAAGUGUAUUCCCAAAGUUUAAGCUGCCACUCCUCUAACAUCGGUAACAAAUGAGUUUUCCAAUAAGAAGGAUAAAGAAUUCUAGCUGCAGUUAUCAUGUAUAAGGACAACUCUGUAUAUUCUGCAGGUAUAUAAUGCUUAGUAAUAUUUAACAUAAAUAUCUCUGGAGAAAAAUGAAAAUCUAUUUUUAACACUUGUUGCAUCUUACUGUGAAUUAACUUCCAAAAUUUCUGAGCUUUAGUGCAUGUCCACCACAUGUGAUGAAAGGUUCCCGGCUGAUUCAUACACUUCCAGCAAUUUCUUGGAUACUUAUUGUCUAUCUUCAAAAUCAUCACUGGAGUAAUAUAUAAAUGGAAAUACAUUUUGUACCAAUUUCCUCUUAGUGUACUAUUGACUGUAAAUUUAAUGUUCACUUCCCACUGAUAUUCCCAUUGUUGCAUAUCAUUGUUGUUUUAUUCAUAUUCUGCAUCCAUUUAAUUAUACAGUCUUUAACUUGUUCUGAUUCCGAGUCAUA